AACGAACGCUGGCGGCAGGCCUAACACAUGCAAGUCGAGCGAAGCCUUCGGGUUUAGCGGCGGACGGGUGAGUAACGCGUGGGAAUAUGCCCUUCUGUACGGAAUAGCCCUGGGAAAGUGGGAGUAAUACCGUAUACGCCCUACGGUGGAAAGAUUUAUCGGAGAAGGAUUGGCCCGCGUUGGAUUGGGUAGUUGGUGGGGUAAUGGCCUACCAAGCCUACGAUCCAUAGCUGGUUUGAGAGGAUGAUCAGCAACACUGGGACGGUGACACGGGCCAGACUCCUACGGGAGGCAGCAGUGGGGAAUCUUAGACAAUGGGGGCAACCCUGAUCUAGCCAUGCCGCGUGAGUGAUGAAGGCCUUAGGGUUGUAAAGCUCUUUCAGCUGGGAAGAUAAUGACGGUACCAGCAGAAGAAGCCCCGGCUAACUCCGUGCCAGCCGCCGCGGUAA
rnacentral:rRNA from 1 species